ensembl:snRNA U6 U6 spliceosomal RNA
AUGCUCACUUUGGCAACACAUAUACUAAAAUUGAAACGAUACACAGAAGGUUAGCAUGGCCCCUGCGCAAGGAUGACACGCAAGUUUGUGAAGCAUUCCAUAUUUUU